rnacentral:rRNA from 1 species
GACGGAGGGUGCUAGCGUUGUUCGGAAUUACUGGGCGUAAAGCGCGUGUAGGCGGCCCUGCAAGUCGGAUGUGAAAUCCCACGGCUCAACCGUGGAAGUGCAUUCGAAACUGCAGGGCUAGAGUCCUGGAGAGGAAGGUGGAAUGCUUGGUGUAGAGGUGAAAUUCGUAGAUAUCAAGCGGAACACCGGUGGCGAAGGCGGCCUUCUGGACAGUGACUGACGCUGAGACGCGAAAGCGUGGGGAGCAAACAGG